rnacentral:rRNA from 1 species
AUUGAACGCUGGCGGCAGGCCUAACACAUGCAAGUCGAACGAGUGGCGGACGGGUGAGUAUUGUCUGGGAAACUGCCUGCUGGAGGGGGAUAACUACUGGAAACGGUAGCUAAUAACGCAUACCAUCGGAUGUGCCCAGUUGGGAUUGGCUAGUAGGUGGGGUAACGGCUCACCUAGGCGACGAUCCCUAGCUGGUCUGGGAGGAUGACCGGCAAAACUGGAACUGAUACACGGUCCAGACUCCUACGGGAGGCAGCAGUGGGGAAUAUUGCACAAUGGGCGCAAGCCUGAUGCAGCCAUGCCGCGUGUAUGAAGAAGGCCUUCGGGUUGUAAAGUACUUUCAGCAGGGAGGCGUUACCCGCAGAAGAAGCACCGGCUAACUCCGUGCCAGCAGCCGCGGUAAUAC